rnacentral:rRNA from 1 species
GCGGCGUGUCUAAGGCAUGCAAGUCGAGGGAAGUACUCAACUUCGGUUGAGAGUACUACCGGCAAACGGGUGAGUAACACACUGGUAACCUACCUUCAAGUCGGGCAUAGCCCGGAGAAAUCCGGAUUAAUACCCGAUAGUCAUGGGGGGUCAUAUGACAUUCCCAUGUAAGGAAUUUCGCUUGAAGAGGGGCCUAUGGCUUAUCAGCUUGUUGGUGGGGUAAAAGCCCACCAAGGCUAUGACGAGUAGCAGGCGUGAGAGCGUGACCUGCCUCACUGGGACUGAGACACGGCCCAGACUCCUACGGGAGGCUGCAGUCAAGAAUAUUCCACAAUGCACGAAAGUGUGAUGGAGCGACGCCGCGUGCAGGAAGACGCCCCUCGGGGUGUAAACUGCUUUUAUGAAGGAAGAAUUUGUGACGGUACUUCAUGAAUAAGAGGGUGCUAACUCUGUGCCAGCAGCAGCGGUAAUACAGAGCCCUCGAACGUUAUCCGGAUUCAUUGGGAGUAAAGC